GACGAACGCUGGCGGCGUGCUUAACACAUGCAAGUCGAACGGAAAGGCCCUGCUUUUGUGGGGGGCUCGAGUGGCGAACGGGUGAGUAACACGUGAGUAACCUGCCCUUGACUUUGGGAUAACUUCAGGAAACUGGGGCUAAUACCGGAUAGGAGCUCCUGCUGCAUGGUGGGGGUUGGAAAGUUUCGGCGGUUGGGGAUGGACUCGCGGCUUAUCAGCUUGUUGGUGGGGUAGUGGCUUACCAAGGCUUUGACGGGUAGCCGGCCUGAGAGGGGGACCGGCCACAUUGGGACUGAGAUACGGCCCAGACUCCUACGGGAGGCAGCAGUGGGGAAUAUUGCACAAUGGGCGGAAGCCUGAUGCAGCAACGCCGCGUGCGGGAUGACGGCCUUCGGGUUGUAAACCGCUUUCGCCUGUGACGAAGCGUGAGUGACGGUAAUGGGUAAAGAAGCACCGGCUAACUACGUG
rnacentral:rRNA from 1 species